AGGAGCCUGUGAGCUCGGGGGAAGGCUGGGGCGCGUGCGUGCGUGCUGUGGGAAUCGUGGGCGGGAUUGCUGUGGGUGUGCGCGUGGGUGGUUGGGGUAUGGGGUGGCUUUUUGUGGAGCGGCUGCGUCGUAUCGCACUUACGCUUUCUGCUGAGUGAGUGGAAGGACACAGGUGUACUUUUUGUAGCGAAACGUUUUGCGCUCAUGGAGAGCGGAGCUGUGGGAGCUCGAAGGGAGCCCUGAGGGAAAGCCGGGUCCGAGGGUCGUCCUUGCCCGCCCUUUUCCUGCCGUGUGCCUGCCUGCGGGAACGGCGCGGUGCUGCUGCGGAGCCGCGGUAUUGCACCUGCACCGCCAGGAAGGAAGGAAGCGUUCCGAGGAGGCUGUGUCUGCUGACACCGAGAUGGGGUUCUGAGAAAAUGGCUUUAAAUUACAACUGGUAUCAGCUGCUUCAUAUCCCUUUGUUCUUCUGGAAAGCCACCGUGCUCCUCAACAAGAGCCUCACUGCACCGCUUACUGAAGAUGCUGGUAGAUCACGAAAAAGAAGAACCUGUAAAUCAGGAGCUACAGGAAGCAGUGACACAAGCUCCAAAUGGUAUGUGAAGUCUUGUGUGUGAGGAGGGAUGCCCCCCAUAACUCUGUACUUUCACACCCUUAAAUGACAAGUCACUGCUGCUGCUUUCCAUCCCCAUCACUUCAUCCUCUUUAUUUUGCACCUACCUAAGCAGUGCAUUGACUGGAGAAUGCAGAAGGGACACAAGACCUGUUUUGCUGUGUACCAAAUGAAGCUGCCAUGAUGCACGAUGAACAGAAAUGGCUUAUGGAGAGACCUACUGUAUGGGUUAAGUUCAUCUCUUUGUACAAGCAAGGUUAUAAACUUUAAAGAUGUGACAAUUUGAUGUGCUUUGUAUGUGACAUGCUGCUGUUGCAGACAGCCUAAAAGGGAUUUAUUUCUGUAGCCUGGCUUCUAGCAGGACCUGAGCAUGUGAGUAUGGAGGCCAGUUAUCCUAAUUUGAUGCUUAUGGUAUAAAACCAAAUACUGUUUCAGGAAUGUGUUGAUUUAAUGCAUGCAAUUGUUGUUAAAAAAAAAAAAAGCUAAUAAAUUGGUAUUUCUGAAU
rnacentral:lncRNA from 7 species